CUGAGUAUUCGGCUCCCGUCAGGGACCGGUUACCCGACCUUUUGUCAUCUGCUCCGAACGUCUCGGUGCCCGGCUGGCUCGUCCGGCCUGGUCUGAGACGCUCGGUAUCCUUACUUCGGCGGAAGUGGCAGGCGUCCUUCCGGGACGAUCUGCCCGCCGCCGGCCGUAUUCCAAACUCUUGUGAAGAAACUUGAAGUCUGAAAAGCACUGCGAGAGCAGUAAAAACGAAAAGCA
rnacentral:misc_RNA from 1 species